UGGGGAAUUUUGGACAAUGGGCGAAAGCCUGAUCCAGCAAUGCCGCGUGUGUGAAGAAGGCCUUCGGGUUGUAAAGCACUUUUGUCCGGAAAGAAAUCCUUGGCUCUAAUACAGUCGGGGGAUGACGGUACCGGAAGAAUAAGCACCGGCUAACUACGUGCCAGCAGCCGCGGUAAUACGUAGGGUGCAAGCGUUAAUCGGAAUUACUGGGCGUAAAGCGUGCGCAGGCGGUUUGCUAAGACCGAUGUGAAAUCCCCGGGCUCAACCUGGGAACUGCAUUGGUGACUGGCAGGCUAGAGUAUGGCAGAGGGGGGUAGAAUUCCACGUGUAGCAGUGAAAUGCGUAGAGAUGUGGAGGAAUACCGAUGGCGAAGGCAGCCCCCUGGGCCAAUACUGACGCUCAUACACGAAAGCGUGGGGAGCAAACAGGAUUAGAUACCCUGGUAGUCCACGCCCUAAACGAUGUCAACUAGUUGUUGGGGAUUCAUUUCCUUAGUAACGUAGCUAACGCGUGAAGUUGACCGCCUGGGGAGUACGGUCGCAAGAUUAAAACUUAAAGGAAUUGACGGGGUCAUAGCGUUUCCU
rnacentral:rRNA from 1 species